rnacentral:rRNA from 1 species
GAGUUUGAUCGUGGCUCAGAUUGAACGCUGGCGGCAUGCCUUACACAUGCAAGUCGAGCGGAUGACGGGAGCUUGCUCCUUGAUUCAGCGGCGGACGGGUGAGUAAUGCCUAGGAAUCUGCCUGGUAGUGGGGGACAACGUUUCGAAAGGAACGCUAAUACCGCAUACGUCCUACGGGAGAAAGCAGGGGACCUUCGGGCCUUGCGCUAUCAGAUGAGCCUAGGUCGGAUUAGCUAGUUGGUGGGGUAAUGGCUCACCAAGGACGACGAUCCGUAGCAGGUCUGAGAGGAUGAUCUGCCACACUGGAACUGAGACACGGUCCAGACUCCUACGGGAGGCAGCAGUGGGGGAAUUUUGGACAAUGGGGGCAACCCUGAUCCAGCCAUGCCGCGUGAGUGAAGAAGGCC